AUUGAACGCUGGCGGAAUGCUUUACACAUGCAAGUCGAACGGCAGCACGGGGGCGAACCCUCGGUGGCGAGUGGCGAACGGGUGAGUAACACAUCGGAACGUGCCCAGUCGUGGGGAUAACGUAGCGAAAGCUACGCUAAUACCGCAUACGAACUCUGGUUGAAAGCGGGGACGUCGCAAGGCCUCGCGCGAUUGGAGCGGCCGAUGGCAGAUUAGGUAGUUGGUGGGUAAAGGCCUACCAAGCCGACGAUCUGUAGCUGGUCUGAGAGGACGACCAGCCACACUGGGACUGAGACACGGCCCAGACUCC
rnacentral:rRNA from 1 species